UCCUAUGUUGUUUUUCACUUUUCAUCUGAGAAGCUCAUACAGUUCUAAUGGGGAGUACUAGGUAUAUAGUGAGGUGGUCCAUGUGAGCCAGGUGACCUUGAUAACUCAGAUGAUGACAGAGAUUGUCCAACUCUUCAGAACACCUGGUUCUCCCAUCAGAUUCUCAGGUGAAAGCUGAAAUGUUUUUAUGAAUGUAGAAAGAAGUCCAGUUGGCUUGGACUCAUGUCGAGCUCAUUUCUUCACACAGUGGGCUAAACUGAAGCCAAGCUGCUUGAAAGAGAUCGAAUUCCCAGGUCAUCACCAAAUUUUGCCCUGAUGAUGCAAACGAACACACACAGACUUAAGCACACUGCAAACAUACUGAGAAAGAGCAUGGAGGGCACAGAUUUAAAAAUAAAGCAGUGGUGUAACUAAUAGCAGUAAUGUUAGCUGCAGUUGGCCAUGACUGUGAUGUAUGGCUUGGAGAUGGUGGCACUGACAAAAAGGCACGGAGCAGAGCUGGAGCUGGCAGAGGUGAACACGCUAAGAUCUUCUUUGGGAGUCACCAGGAGGGACAGGAUUAGAAAUGAAUCCAUCAGAAGGACAGCUCAGAGAGGAAGAUGGUUUGGACAUAUGGAGAGGAGGGAUUGUGUAUAUAUUGGACAAAAGAAGACGGAGCUACCAGCCCGGAGGAAAAAGAGAAAGACCCCGAAGAAGGUUGACGUAUGUAGUGAAGGAGGACAUGCAGAUGGUUUGUGUGACAGAAGAGGAUUCUAGGGAUUGGAUGAAAUGGAGGGAGAUGAUCUACUGUGACGACCCCUGAAGGGAACAGUUGGUCAUGACUGGAUUCGGUAUACAGCCCUGUAGCACAACUGGCUUUUGACUUGUGAUAGCAGGGAAAGCAAGUAAUAACAUAAAAGAUGACUCAGGGCCAUCAGACCCAACAUAGGCCUUUAAUUCUGUUACUAAACACACCUGUGGAGUAGUUUAUGCUGUUAUGUCUUAACCAUAAAGAGCCAGCACAUUCACAUUUAAAUAUUUAAAUAAAGUCACUAUAAGUCAGCAUACAUGCUAAAAACAAAUCCUAAAUGUUCAGAAGAUUAAGAUGCUUGCUUUUGAUUAAUCAGCAAUGAUGCCAGUAGCAGUGCACUGAGGUGUGCACACCACAUAGCUUCGGGUUUUUUGGACAAAUCACUCUCUCUUUGACGGCCUUAAUUCUUUUGAAAUAAAUUCAGUUUGGAGCAAGGGAGCAAAUCUCUAGUAAAGCUGCACCUUUAACCAGAGAAGAGCUCUGAACAUCCUGGCUAAUUUAAAACUGCUGUCUAAUUCAGCUAUAAGAAAGGAAAGCCGUACUUAACACAUCAAACGCUAUCUCGUGUUGACAUAGACUCAAACCGCUUCUGUCUCGCCACAUUAAAUCAAAUGCCUUUCUUAAACAACAAAACCAAAGACGGCCUCAGGAUACGUUCAAUUAAAAGGCUUUUAAAUUUCCAUCUCUGAGUUAUUGCCAUUAAAUGAUCGUCUUCUCAGAAAUGAGUCAUAAAUCAUUAAAUUGCCUUUCACAUUGCAAGGAUCCCUCUGGCUCUUAGUACCAGAGUUUGCGUAGCUGUUUGGCCAGACAAGGACAUUCCCCAUAUUUAAUUUUGUCUCUUAUCAUAGUCAGUAAUCACGUCCUCUUAAAACAGAUCGCCCCAAAGACAAAAGUGCAAAAACUAUCUUUGAAGGACACAGACUUAAUAACUUUCCCUGUCAGCUGUGAAAUAUACUAUUAAGGCUGUGAAAAUUAAUACACACAAGUGUGUGCGUGAACAGGCUGAUGGAAAUAAUAAUCUGCUUAUUAUGGCAUAAUCAACAUCCUCUUGUUUUCCUCAACCCUAAAAACACCUGUUUGCCUAUUUUCCCCCCACCUAAUUGCACCAUUUAAUUGCUUAUUUGUGUAAAUAUUGUAGACUUUGUGUUGUGAGACUUCAGCUGCAUCUCCCAAAUUGUCUGUCAGUCCUUGUUUACUUUUUCCCCCUGAAUC